AUCAAUGUUGUUACUUUUACACUUUAUUUUCUAUGCUUUUCCUCUACAACUCUCUUUUAUUUUGGAGAAAUGAAGUGGAUUUCUACUCUUUGAUUGGAGAAAAAAAGUGGAUUUCUAUUUUUUUCAAUCAAAGGGAGUUGUAGGGGAA
rfam:Phaseolus vulgaris cultivar G19833 chromosome 2, whole genome shotgun sequence.